UCCACUCGACGGAAGAAAACAAACUUUGUGUACAGUGUCCCAUCUUUGUUGUACUGACCUUUUAUUGCUUUGUGGGUGGAACAUUUCAGUCAGUCAGUCAGUCAGACAGGCAAGCAAGCGGUGGCGGCACGACCUGAGUCCAGGAUGCAAAACAAUAGGGGAGGAAGGGGAAUCCUGGGGGAAGCUCAAAGUCUCUCACGCAUCUUCCCAAUUACAUUCAACUGAAGGCAGCACACCCAAUCAACAGAUGAAUGGCCUUCCUUUGUGUGACGUCUGUUUUUUGUUUGCCUUGAGCAGAGCAGACCCAUUCUGCGGUUGUGCCUUGGCACAUUUGAUGAACCUGAUACAGUAUAAAAGGAUACAGGAAAAGUUCCCUUUGUUCCGUGUUUCAAUGUGUUUCAUACAGUAACUGCGUGUGUGGGUUGGUGUUUUGGGAACCCUAUUUUGUGCAAGACUCCAGGUGCAAGCUGGGACUCGCUCGCAUGCCCACAAGUCAAAAAUUCAAUGGGAUUGCCUCCAAGCGGGAGGCAAGAUCGUGGGGAUCUUUAUCUUCAGUUUUUCUGAGAUUCUCAUCAGGAUAAAGCGGGCUACAAGGAUGGAUGGAGGGUUGGAGAUUGUGUUUAAAUGUCGCUAGAUCAUUUAGAUUUCUUGUAAAUGCUGCACUUGUUUUUACGCCUCCAGGAAAAUGUGACACACAUCACUGCUGAACGGGUCAAACAAAAUACGGCCCCCCGCCCCCUCCCUCGGCCCCCAUGACAUCAUCCUGUACUUAAAUUGUCGACUGGCAUUUGAGUGGGCACGGGGCUGCAACAUCACAGCAAGGGGAAUUUUCUUUUAGUCACCGUAUCUGAGCGUUGCAUGAAUGUAUUUGUAUUUUUUAUUUUAAGCAGAAGUGGAACAUUCACAAAAUGUCCCGCGUGGGUCACAAAACCGAAAUCUUACACAUACUGUAUGGCAUUCUAUCAAUGUAUGUUUGACAUUUACAGAAUUCAUCUUUUACUUUGGUGUGUCAUGGGAUUGAGAAAAUAAAGUAUUCAUUUAACUGAG